rnacentral:rRNA from 1 species
UCGGGGAAUGGGCUCAUUACAACAGCUAUUAUAUACUUGAUUUUGAUGUCCUACGUGGAUAACUGUGGUAAUUCUAGAGCUAAUACAUGCACCAAAGCUCCGAUUUUCUGACGAGCGCAUCUAUUAGAUUAAAACCAAUCGGGUUUCGGCCCGUAAAUUGGUGACUCUGAAUAACUGUAGCUGAUCGCAUGGUCCAGAACCGGCGACGUGUCUAUCAAGUGUCUGCCUUAUCAACUGUCGAUGGUAGUUUAUGUGCCUACCAUGGUUGUAACGGGUAACGGAGAAUAAGGGUUCGACUCCGGAGAGGGAGCCUGAGAAACGGCUACCACAUCCAAGGAAGGCAGCAGGCGCGCAAAUUACCCACUCUCGGCAUGAGGAGGUAGUGACGAAAAAUAACGAGACCGUUCUCUAUGAGGCCGGUUAUCGGAAUGGGUACAAUUUAAACCCGUUAACGAGGAUCUAUGAGAGGGCAAGUCUGGUGCCAGCAGCCGCGGUAAUUCCAGCUCUCAAAGUGUAUAUCGUCAUUGCUGCGGUUAAAAAGCUCGUAGUUGGAUCUGCGCCUCAGGACUUGGUCCGCCCACUGGGCGAGAACUGGGCUCCUGGGCUAGUUCUGCUGGUUUUCCCUACGUUGCCUUCAUCGGUCGCGUAGGGUGGCUAGCGAGUUUACUUUGAAAAAAUUAGAGUGCUUCACGCGGGCUUAUGUCUGAAUACUCGUGCAUGGAAUAAUAGAAUAGGAUCUCGGUUCUAUUUUGUUGGUUUUCUGAUCUGAGAUAAUGGUUAAGAGGGAACGGACGGGGGCAUUCGUAUCGCUGCGUGAGAGGUGAAAUUCUUGGACCGUAGCGAGACGUCCGACUGCGAAAGCAUUUGCCAAGA